rnacentral:ncRNA from 1 species
GUGAUGGCGCGAUCAGCUGCGCCGUCCCGGACGAGAGGGCGCGCCGUACCCGGAACGACGACGGCGCUCG